GGGGAUUUAGCUCAGCGGUAGAGCGCUUGCCUAGCAAGCACAAGGCCCUGGGUUCAAUCCCCAGCUCCG
rnacentral:tRNA from 1 species